rnacentral:misc_RNA from 1 species
GAUGAAGAACGCAGCGAAAUGCGAUAAGUAAUGUGAAUUGCAGAAUUCAGUGAAUCAUCGAAUCUUUGAACGCACAUUGCGCCCGCCAGUAUUCUGGCGGGCAUGCCUGUUCGAGCGUCAUUUCAACCAUCAAGCCCCCGGCUUGUGUUGGGAACCUGCGGCUGCCGCAGGCCCUGAAAAGCAGUGGCGGGCUCGCUGUCACACCGAGCGUAGUAGCAUACAUCUCGCUCUGGGCGUGCUGCGGGUUCCGGCCGUUAAACCACCUUCAUAACCCAAGGUUGACCUCGUAUCAGGUAGGAAGACCCGCUGAACUUAAGCAUAUCAAUAAGCGGAGGA